GUUGAUCCUGGCUCAGACAUGAACGCUGGCGGCGUGCCUAAUACAUGCAAGUCGAACGAGAAAUCACACCUUCGGGAGUGAGAGUAAAGUGGCGCACGGGUGAGUAACGCGUGGGUAACCUACCCUUUGGUUCGGAAUAACUGCCUGAAAGGGCAGCUAAUUAUCGAACAAGACCACGACGGCUUCGGCGGUUGGGGUAAAAGAUGGCCUCUACUUGUAAGCUAUCGCCAGAGGAUGGGCCCGCGUGCUAUUAGCUAGUUGGUGAGGUAACGGCUCACCAAGGCAGCGAUAGCUAGCUGGUCUGAGAGGAUGAUCAGCCACACUGGAACUGAAACACGGUCCAGACUCCUACGGGAGGCAGCAGUAAGGAAUUUUGCGCAAUGGGGGAAACCCUGACGCAGCAACGCCGCGUGAGUGAAGAAGGCCCUCGGGUCGUAAAGCUCUGUCAAGUGGGAAGAACCCUUUCAUGGAUAAUAACCAUGAGAGCUGACGGUACCACUGGAGGAAGCACCGGCUAACUCCGUGCCAGCAGCCGCGGUAAUACGGAGGGUGCCAGCGUUAUUCGGAAUCAUUGGGUGUAAAGCGCGUGUAGGCGGCUAAGCAAGUCAGAUGUGAAAGCUUCGGGCUUAACCCGGAAAGUGCAUUUGAAACUGUUUGGCUUGAGUCCUGGAGAGGGAAGUGGAAUUCCCAGUGUAGAGGUGAAAUUCGUAGAUAUUGGGAGGAACACCGGUGGCGAAGGCGACUUCCUGGACGGUGACUGACGCUGAGACGCGAAAGCGUGGGGAGCAAACAGGAUUAGAUACCCUGGUAGUCCACGCCGUAAACGAUGGGCACUAGGUGUAGGGGGUAUUGACCCCCCCCCUGUGCCGUAGCUAACGCA
rnacentral:rRNA from 1 species